rnacentral:tRNA from 1 species
UCGGGGAUCGUCUAGUGGUAGGACAGCGGCCUUUGGAGCCGUCAACCGGGGUUCGAAUCCCUGUCCCCGAGCCA